rfam:Merops nubicus contig92644, whole genome shotgun sequence.
CUCUUUUCAGAGCCACCCACAAAUCUCUCUAAGAGCUGU